rnacentral:lncRNA from 1 species
UGGAUUGGACCAAAUGAAAUAGUUUAGGGGAGUAAAGUAAGACUAAAUUUUAUUCAGGGGGUUAAGCAGAUAAAGUGGAUAUGUGAGGGGAGUAAAAUUGACUUUCUCCUUUUAAAUUAUUUUUAUAAUGGUAUAAAUGGGUAAUUUUGAUGAAGAUUAGGGGGUUACUUUAGUUUAUUUUAUAUAAUGACAGAUGUUGGUAAUUUAGAUAUAAAUUUAGGGGUUAUUUUAGGCUAUUUUUAUAAUAGCAUAGGUGGUUAAUUUUUUAGAAAAUAUAAUAGAUCCAAUGACUAUGAUGAUUUGAAUCUACCGAUGGUCGGAUGAGUUAGCUUUUUUAUAAGAAUUUGUAGAAUUUCUCUUUUU